CUGUUUGGGUGCACUUUUUGAAGGUACACACCAAAAAAUUUAUAAAAUUACUCGAGACAGAAACGCUUGAAGACCCAAUUAUGUUUCGCCCUAAUUAGGAAUUGAUUUAAUUUCACAUCGUUUUCAAUCUAAACUUAACAAACACCCAAGCUUACGGGCCAUAAUUUUCGAAAGACUUAACUGUAUCAUGAUCUAAUUCAUGAAAGAUGUAUUUUUCAAUCAUAUUGAAUAUAAACUUAUAAAAAUGACCUAAAUUUAAAUUUAAGAAGAUGUAAAAUUAUGUGCGCGGUUACAAUUUGGCAACCCUGCGAAGAAACAGAAACAAAACAAAUUAAAAGCAAGUGCAUUCUAUUUUGGUGCGUAUUGUCACGGGAAAUUAAAGCCAGAAAGUGUUCUUUCGGGUGAAAAAGGCGAUUCCCUCUUGCGCUCUUGAUAACGUGGAUAACAGCUUUGGGUAAUAAGGUUAGCACUUCCGUGUGCUAUUUUCAGCGGUUUUCUAGAAUUUAAGAACAGCGGCUCUGCCGCGGAGUUUGACAGCAGCUCAAAUUUUCGUUUUUUGUUUUGAUUUCAUCGUUCCGGUCUUAUUGCGUGAAGUCUGAAACAACACCAGCUGGGACGGGCCAUUUCGAGUAAGCUGGAUUAUUCUUAGACUAAAAGGUACCGGGAUCUGCUAUAUGCUAGCGUGAACUACGAAGACAGCUGGUGGACCGGGUUUGCCACGAAAUGGGGCAUUUCGGCCUAAGUUGGCUACUCAGAGACCAAACGUGCCACUACUCUCAGAGUUUGCCUUAGUGAAUUCCUUGCCAGAAAUCCUGCAGUAUAAACUUGAUGAAAGCAGUACACAAAACCUUGUUCUGUACCCUGGAAAAGGAAUCCCACUGGCCUUGAACAUAGAUCGACUAGCUGAUAAUUCCGGAAGACCAAUCGAAAAACGGAGUUCGAUACCCGGUUCAAUAAAAAACCUUGACUGGAAUUUCUGGUGCCAACUGGUUUGUUCUGUAUUCCAACAUUAAACAUCCUCUAAGGCAUUGAA